CUUCGGGUCGUAAAACUCUGUCCUCAAGGAAGAUAAUGACGGUACUUGAGGAGGAAGCCCCGGCUAACUACGUGCCAGCAGUCGCGGUAAUACGUAGGGGGCUAGCGUUAUCCGGAUUUACUGGGCGGAAAGGGUGCGUAGGCGGUCUUUCAAGUCAGGAGUGAAAGGCUACGGCUCAACCGUAGUAAGCUCUUGAAACUGGGAGACUU
rnacentral:rRNA from 1 species